ACGAACGCUGGCGGCAGGCCUAACACAUGCAAGUCGAGCGCUACCUUCGGGUGGAGCGGCGGACGGGUUAGUAACGCGUGGGAAUAUACCCAGUUCUAAGGAAUAGCCACUGGAAACGGUGAGUAAUACCUUAUACGCCCUUCGGGGGAAAGAUUUAUCGGAAUUGGAUUAGCCCGCGUUAGAUUAGAUAGUUGGUGGGGUAAUGGCCUACCAAGACUGUGAUCAAUAGCUGAUUUGAGAGGAUGAUCAGCCACAUUGGGACUGAGACACGGCCCAAACUCCUACGGGAGGCAGCAGUGGGGAAUCUUGC
rnacentral:rRNA from 1 species